CCUGGUGGCUCAGACAGUACAGCGUCUGCCUGCAAUGCAGGAGACCUGGGUUUGAUUCCUGGGUCAGGA
rnacentral:tRNA from 1 species